rnacentral:rRNA from 1 species
GACGUUUAGCUGCAGAAGAAGCACCGGCUAACUCCGUGCCAGCAGCCGCGGUAAUACGGAGGGUGCGAGCGUUAAUCGGAAUUACUGGGCGUAAAGCGCAUGCAGGUGGUUUGUUAAGUCAGAUGUGAAAGCCCGGGGCUCAACCUCGGAAUUGCAUUUGAAAACUGGCAAACUAGAGUACUGUAGAGGGGGUAGGAAUUUCAGGUGUAGCGGUGAAAUAGCGUAGAGAUCUGAAGGAAUACCGGUGGCGAAGGCGGCCCCCUGGACAGAUACUGACACUCAGAUGCGAAAGCGUGGGGAGCAAACAGGAUUAGAUACCCUGGUAG